rnacentral:rRNA from 1 species
UACGUAGGGGGCGAGCGUUGUCCGGAUUUAUUGGGCGUAAAGAGCUCGUAGGCGGUUUGGUAAGUCGGAUGUGAAAUCUCCACGCUCAACGUGGAGGAGCCACCCGAUACUGCCAUGACUAGAGUCCGGUAGGGGAGUGUGGAAUUCCCGGUGUAGCGGUGAAAUGCGCAGAUAUCGGGAGGAACACCGGUGGCGAAGGCGGUUCUCUGGGCCUGUUCUGACGCUGAGGAGCGAAAGCGUGGGGAGCAAACAGG